AUCUAAAUGAUCAGAAAUAAUCUAAUUGAUCAGAAAUAAUCUAAAUGAUCAGAAAUAAUCGGUUUUCUGUUGUCAUUGCUGUGAGUUUUUAAGAAAAUUGAUCGUUUUAUGACAAUAAUUUUCCUCUAACUGAAACGAUCCAAUCAGUUGAUCUCCUGGAACCACAAAGCUGCUGUAAAAACAGGACGUCUCACUUUGACUUGAAUUGUGAUCCAUUUAUAGUUAAAACGUGUUUAUUCUUCAUUCAGUGGAGCAACUAGAGGUGGGAAGUACGGUGGCUCAGAGGGCCAAAUGUUCAGCAAACUCAUGAAUAAUGCAAACUUCAAGACAAACUAACACAAACACCAAAAACCUCAGAAGUCGCUCCACCGAACAGCCGUCCUCCAGACCACUAGGGGGAGCUUUUGUGAGUUUUGCCGUUUGCAUCCUUCAUGUUUUUGCAGCGUUUUUAUCCGUUUCCUGCAUGUUAGCAUCGUUAGCCACCAUAAGGCAGAGCAGCCGCAACCUUCAGUCCUCAGAGAAGCGCAGAAAUGAUUCAUCCUGAGUUUCCUGCAGUAGACGAGUCUGGUUUUCUGGAUGUUCUGGUGAAACUGGUCCUGUGGUUCUGUUGGAGCGGUUGGGCCGAGCCGCCGGCUGCUGCUGCGCUCCUAAUGUCCUAAUGGACCCUGACUGCGCUGGUUCAUCCUGCUCCUACUGGGCGGCUAAUGCAGUUACACUGUCAGAUCAGCAGGGGGCUCCCUCCCCCUCUCUCUGAGUGUGUGUGUGUGUGUGGGGCGGGACUCUCCUGCUGCAGGUUUACGGUUAAUCAAUCAUGGAGGCGCCUUAAUGACACCCUGCUGCUUCCCUAAUGUCUGCUGGCAGCGGCCGCCUGCAGCUGGCUCCCGCCUCACGCAGGCACGCAGAUGGCCGCCUCGCUGACUGACGGGACCCGCUCUCUCUCUCUCUCUCUCUCUCACACACACACACUCACAGCGCCGCUGGCUGGAGAUGACGAGGAAGAGGAGGAGGACUCUUCGGCCUCGCCUGGCUGCCUCUGCCCCGCAGCUUUCCAAAUGCAGAAGAAGAAAAUCCAGAAAGUUUGUCUGCAAACACCUGGAGAAGCAGCAGAAACAACAAGCUGCAGAGCAACACGACGUCCAGCUCAGCUCACGCUAAUGUCUCCAUCCACAGAAAUCUGAAAAGUGUGGCAUGCAUUUGUAUUCUACGGUGGCUGACAGACGCAAACAGAAAAUAUCCAAAUGAAUGAUGCAAACUCCAGAACAGAAACAAUGCAGCAGAAAAGAUGCUGCAAAAAUAAAAACCUUCAAUUAACAAACUAAUGGGAAUAAAAUGUUUUCCAGUUGGAUCCAGAUUGCAGACGUUUUACUUUGUUUACCUGAAACCACAGAAGAAGAGUUUCCUUUUCUGGGUUUGAAUUAGAGCCUUAAUUCAGAUUCUUCCUUGAAAUGAAACGUCUGUUCAGAUCUGCUUUGAGACAUAAUUUUGGUCUGGAUUCAAACUUCUCUGUGUUUCUUCUGCAGGUCUGUGUGAUGUCACACUGACCUGCUUUUAAUCACCUCCAACUCUCUGAACUGCAGUGAGUUCAGUCCGUUUGGUUCUACAUUCCUCCUGUUCGGACCGCCAACCCGUCCCGGGCGCAGCGUCAUCAGCCGCAGGUCCAUUAGCAUGCAGGUGGCUGCGGCUCACAGGCCCAUCUGUCCGUUGGAUUGCUUUCUAAUUUCUGCUGCUUGUUGUUGUCAUCCUGUCGCCGCACGCUGCCUCCUCUUCAGCCGGACUGACAGCCGAGCCGUUCUGGAACUAAAACAGCAAUCCAUCAUCCAGGGACGCCGCGGCGAGGGAGGGAGGAGAGCCUGAGGUGUUACCAUGACUACCAGCUCAGGUAGGAGACAUCCAUCUGAGGCCGGAGGGCAGGAAUCCUGCUGUCAGGAAAAAGUUCCCAGAAGGAAAACUUCCUCUGAGACGUCCAGCUGUUGGGUUCAGGUUCAGAUCAAAGUGGUGGUCAGCGGUUGUCAUAGCGAUUACUUUUAUUAAACAACUCAGUCAGCAGGAGAAAAGACUUUCAGCAGGAAUUAAAAUAUUUAGACAAACAUGUUUCUGUUCAGCUGAACUCUUCUACUGGUACAGCAGGCUAACAGUUAGCUCAGUAAACAGCUAACUGCUGUUAGCCGCCACUGCUGGUCUUCAUGGCGAACAGCGACGGCAUAUGGAGAGUUGGGCCACAAACCAAUAAUAAUAUUGGUAUUAGAGCAGCUAAUCGAUAUUAAUAUUAGUAUAAUGCCGCUAAUUAUUUACCGACAUAUUUCCCUUCCCACAUGGUGAAGUACAUUUUCCUAAUGGAUAAUAAUUUGGUUGCAUCUCACUAGUUUUACUCACCAGUGAGGUUUAUGACCGUUAAUCUUCUUACCUUGUAAACAAUGUUGGCUGUGAAUCUGUGAACAGAGCAGCCGGCCGGUCCCUGUGCUUCUUAUCGUCUCCAUCUUCUUUCCUCAGCGAAAUGUUUCCCUGACCCACAGCACUGCGAGCAUUUUCACACUGGAAUCACUGAAUUAAAGCCAUAUUGGACGAAAGCCGUUUCUUGAUAAGCUGUGCAGGAGUUCACAGGUUGCUUUGACUUCCGGUGUGGUGACGGAGUGGGCCGCUGAGCAUCGGGACGUCAAGAACUAAAAUGAUUAAAUGAUGCUGCCAUUGAACUGGUGGAUAGUUGAACUGGUUUAUAGUUUGCAGUAUUUGGGAGUUCUUCUUCAUAUUUCAACAUUUGAGUCACAUUUUACCAUUUCAAUAACAAAAUAAAAACAAUUGUAGAGUUGUGAGGAGGCAGCAUUAUUAAAGUUUAUUUAAUCUGUGUACCUGCCUACAAACUGUAUUUUAAUAUGUCAUUAAACCACUGAAAUAAAUGAACGUUCAUUUCUGCUGGUUUCCUAAAGUUGUCUGCUGCCAUCUAGAGGCCAGGCGGCGCCACUGCAGCAUCAUAGACCCGGUUUCAGGUCCAGAAUAUUCCUCUUUGGUUCCUCUUUGGUUCCUCCUGACCCUCAAACAAAAUGACAAACGAGUUUAUGAAAAAAACACAUUUUAUUAGUGUGUGGUUCCGGCCCAGUGGACCGCUCAGAACUCGUUUGACUCGUUCUUAUAAAUAACCUGAGGCAGGUCCAGCUGAAACCGAUCAGAACCAAGAGCGGUUUCCCUUCUGGACCGAACAGGAUCGUUAAAACUAAACGACGGACCGGUCCAGAACCGGGUCAACCCAAACGUCAGUAGAACCCAGUAGAACCCGGGUCAGAAUCCGGUUUC